rnacentral:rRNA from 1 species
AUUGAACGCUGGCGGCAGGCCUAACACAUGCAAGUCGAGCGGAUGAAGGGAGCUUGCUCCUGGAUUCAGCGGCGGACGGGUGAGUAAUGCCUAGGAAUCUGCCUGGUAGUGGGGGAUAACGUCCGGAAACGGGCGCUAAUACCGCAUACGUCCUGAGGGAGAAAGUGGGGGGUCUUCGGACCUCACGCUAUCAGAUGAGCCUAGGUCGGAUUAGCUAGUUGGUGGGGUAAAGGCCUACCAAGGCGAGCAUCCGUAAGUGGUCUGAGUGGAUGAUCAGUCACACUGGAACUGAGACACAGACCAGACUCCUACGGGAGGCAGCAGUGUGGAAUAUUGGACAAUGGGCGAAAGCCUGAUCCAGCCAGGCCGCGUGUGUGAAGAAGGUCUUCGGAUUGUAAAGCACUUUAAGUUGGGAGGAAGGGCAGUAAGUUAAUACCUUGCUGUUUUGACGUUACCAACAGAAUAAGCACCGGCUAACUUCGUG